rnacentral:sRNA from 1 species
CCCUAGCCCGGAUGGCAGCGGCAUCCUUUUGCGGCCGAGGGACGAGGACGUAAAAGAUACAGCGGACAGCCGGAAAAAGC